AAAAGCCUUUCUGCUUCCCCUACAUACUUUUUUUUAUAAUUCUAAUUCUAUCUAAAAAAAAGUAUGUAGGGGAAGCAGAAAGGCUUUUGUC